CCAUCAGCCAUUUUCUCUGGGCUUAAUCCCCGAGUACUUCCAGGAAUUUCUGCAGCGGAGAGGCCACUGGCUCCUUCACAAAACAGCCACGGAUUAGGGGCCCCUGUGGAGGUCUGCCCCUGAGUCUCGUUUCACGGCUCUGCCUCCCAGUGGUGGGCUUCCCUUAGCAUGCUGCUGCCUCCUCAGGCACGGUGUCGUUGGCUGAAGAUGCCAGCACCAGCUCUGAUCCUUCCUCUUUACUCUCAGACCACAGGCAGCUCUUGGAAUUGGGGAGCCGAUGCGCUGAGCAAGCAGCGAGGUUCCCCCCCCCCCCCCGCCCCCUACGGCAACAGUCCGCCUUGGCAAACACUAUUUGUGAAGUGCAAAUGUGGAGGUGGUGAAAAAUGCAUGCUGGGAUUUCCCUGGACUCACCUUGCUACAGGAACUUGCGUCGCUCACGCUCACAGAAGUCCCCAACUCUUCUGCAACUUCUCCUCUGAAGUCCACAGGGACUCUGUCAUCCUGACAUGCCACAGAUCACAAUGCUGGUUCCCUCCAUUGAAAGCAUAACACUGAUUGGACCUGGUGAGAUGGAAAUGACAGCUGCCUAGAAACCCUGUGAAGAUAACAUGAGUGUGAGAGAGUGACAGAGUCGAAAAAUCAAACCAUCAUCAGUGUGAGACCAUCUGUAUGGACCCUGGACUAUAAAUGGGACCACAAUUAAAGCUCACCACUCAAAACGGAGCCAUGCCUUCAUCCUUCCUGUAACAUACAUACCUGAGGGAGACAAGAUUUGCCCACAUUUCAUAUAGCUUAUAAAGAAUGGAGCCAGGAUUCGCCAGGCAUCAUGAUCCCACAGUACCAGUUCAUAAUUCCUACCUUCUC